UAGGGAAUAUUGGACAAUGGGGGCAACCCUGAUCCAGCCAUGCCGCGUGAGUGAAGAAGGCCCUCGGGUUGUAAAGCUCUUUUGUCCGGAAAGAAAAGCUUCGGGUUAAUACCCCGGGGUUCUGACGGUACCGGAAGAAUAAGCACCGGCUAACUUCGUGCCAGCAGCCGCGGUAAUACGAAGGGUGCAAGCGUUACUCGGAAUUACUGGGCGUAAAGCGUGCGUAGGUGGUUGUUUAAGUCUGAUGUGAAAGCCCUGGGCUCAACCUGGGAAUGGCAUUGGAAACUGGCAGCUAGAGUGCGGUAGAGGGUAGUGGAAUUCCCGGUGUAGCAGUGAAAUGCGUAGAGAUCGGGAGGAACAUCUGUGGCGAAGGCGACUGCCUGGACCAGCACUGACACUGAGGCACGAAAGCGUGGGGAGC
rnacentral:rRNA from 1 species